CAGGCCGCCGAACGGACAGAGUUUCCCCUGUACGUCCUAGGCGUCGCAAUCAAUACAAUAAACAUUACAAGGGUUCCAACCAGGAACAGAUAUCAAUCAAGAUUGCAUAGGGAAGGUAUCAAACAACAUAACACAUGCUAUGUUAUUACAAGCAUUCAUUAGAUUCAUUUUUACAUCACAUUAGCAUUAUUACAUUACAUUUUCUUCCAAAUACAAUCAAUGAUCGCAAUAUUAAUACAAGUUUACUCUUUUUCUUUUCCCUCUACCCCUAGGCUAUGCCGACUCGGGGUACC
rnacentral:lncRNA from 1 species